rfam:Capsicum annuum cultivar Zunla-1 chromosome 4, whole genome shotgun sequence
GCUGCGGUUUCUUUAGAAACCACCAAAGCUCAUUCAAUAGUUGUAU